rnacentral:rRNA from 1 species
GACGAACGCUGGCGGCGUGCUUAACACAUGCAAGUCGAACGGAAAGGCCUGCUUUCCCUUGUGGAUUGCGGGUACUCGAGUGGCGAACGGGUGAGUAACACGUGAGUGAUCUGCCCCCAACUUGGGUAUAAGCCUGGGAAACUGGGUCUAAUUCCCGAUAGGACUGCAGGGUGGUGCCUGUGGUGGAAAACGAUUUUCUAGUGGUUGGGGAUGAGCUCGCGGCCUAUCAGCUUGUUGGUGGGGUAAUGGCCUACCAAGGCGGCGACGGGUAGCCGGCCUGAGAGGGUGGACAGCCACAUUGAGACUGAGAUACGGCCCAGACUCCUACGGGAGGCAGCAGUGGGGAAUAUUGCACCAUGAGCGGAAGCCUGAUGCAGCGACGCCGCGUGGGGGAUGACGGCCUUCGGGUUGUAAACUCCUUUCGACCGCGAGGAAGCCACCUGGUUGGAAGGGUGGUGACGGUAGUGGUAGAAGAAGCACCGGCUAACUACGUG